GAGCGGGCUCUUUCGGAAGUCCUUCGGGGACGGAAGCAAUCCCUAUCGGCGGACGGGUGAGUAACGCGUGGAUAAUCUGCCUAUGGCACUGGGACAACAGUUGGAAACGACUGCUAAUACCGGAUAAGCUUACUGGAAUCGCAUGGUUCUGUAAGAAAAUGUGCGCCGGCCAUAGAUGAGUCCGCGUCUGAUUAGCUAGUUGGUAAGGUAAAAGCUUACCAAUGCGACGAUCAGUAUCCGACCUGAGAGGGUGAUCGGCCACAUUGGGACUGAGACACGGCCCAAACUCCUACGGGAGGCAUCAGUGGGGAAUAUUGCACAAUGGGCGAAAGCCUGAUGCAGCAACGCCGCGUGAGGGAAGAAUGUUUUCGGAUCGUAAACCUCUAUCGACAGGGACGAAAAAAAUGACUGUACCUGAGUAAGAAGCCCCGGCUAACUACGUGCCAGCAGCCGCGGUAAU
rnacentral:rRNA from 1 species